rnacentral:rRNA from 1 species
AUUGAACGCUGGCGGCAGGCCUAACACAUGCAAGUCGAGCGGAUGAGAAAAGCUUGCUUUUUGAUUCAGCGGCGGACGGGUGAGUAAUGCCUAGGAAUCUGCCUGUUAGUGGGGGAUAACUCGGGGAAACUCGGGCUAAUACCGCAUACGUCCUACGGGAGAAAGUGGGGGAUCUUCGGACCUCACGCUAACAGAUGAGCCUAGGUCGGUUUAGCUAGUAGGUGAGGUAAUGGCUCACCUAGGCGACGACCCGUAACUGGUCUGAGAGGAUGAUCCGUCAGACUGGAACUUAGACACGGUCCAGACUCGUGCGGUAGGCAGCAGUGGGGAAUAUUGGACAAUGGGCGAAAGCCUGAUCCAGCAAUGCGGCGUGUGUGAAGAAGGUCUUCGGAUUGUAAAGCACUUUAAGUUGGGAGGAAGGGCUGUAAGCGAAUAUCUUGCAGCUUUGACGUUACCAACAGAAUAAGCACCGGCUAACUCUGUGCCAGCCGCCGCGGUAACAC